GUCUACGGCCAUACCACCCUGAACGCGCCCGAUCUCGUCUGAUCUCGGAAGCUAAGCAGGGUCGGGCCUGGUUAGUACUUGGAUGGGACACCAAUACUUGUGAUUACUUGUGAUAGUUAGGAACUGAAAACU
rnacentral:rRNA from 1 species